CUACUGGUUCUACUGGUGAGACGUCGUGUUCUCAGGAGACCUAAAGCUGAUGGAGGAGAAGCUGGAGGAGAUGACAUCACAUACAGUGACAUCAGAGUAUUACAUCAUCAACAGCAGCCAAUCAGACGGAGCAGAGAGAGCGAUCCAGCUGCAGUCUACUCGGCAGUGAAAGGAAGAGAAGACGUCACUUAUGGACAGAUGGUCUUCAAAGACGGUGGAGGCCGAUCAAAGAC